rnacentral:rRNA from 1 species
UACGUAGGGGGCAAGCGUUAUCCGGAUUUACUGGGUGUAAAGGGAGCGUAGACGGUGAUGCAAGUCAGAAGUGAAAGCCCGGGGCUCAACUCCGGGACUGCUUUUGAAACUGUGUGACUGGAGUGCAGGAGAGGUAAGCGGAAUUCCUGGUGUAGCGGUGAAAUGCGUAGAUAUCGGGAAGAACACCAAUGGCGAAGGCAGGUCUCUGGGCCGUUACUGACGCUGAGGAGCGAAAGCGUGGGGAGCGAACAGG